rnacentral:misc_RNA from 1 species
GAAAUGCGAUAAGUAAUGUGAAUUGCAGAAUUCAGUGAAUCAUCGAAUCUUUGAACGCACCUUGCGCCUUUUGGUAUUCCGAAAGGCAUGCCUGUUUGAGUGUCAUGAAAUCUCAAUCCUCCUAGGUUUUUGACCUGGUUGGACUUGGACAUGGGCGUCUGCCAGCAAUGGCUCGCCUCAAAUGACUUAGUGGAACAUCCCACAUCAGUGUUAGACGUAAUAAGUUUCGUCUCUCCUUGUGGUGAUGACUGCUCAUAAUCUGCCAUCGCGCACUUUUGACUUUGACCUCAAAUCAGGUAGGGCUACCCGCUGAACUUAA